GACGAACGCUGGCGGCGUGCUUAACACAUGCAAGUCGAACGGAAAGGCCCCUUCGGGGGUACUCGAGUGGCGAACGGGUGAGUAACACGUGAGUAACCUGCCCUUGACUUCGGGAUAACUUCAGGAAACUGGGGCUAAUACCGGAUAGGAAUCCUUGCUGCAUGGUGGGGGUUGGAAAGCUUCGGCGGUUUUGGAUGGACUCGCGGCUUAUCAGCUUGUUGGUGGGGUAGUGGCUUACCAAGGCUUUGACGGGUAGCCGGCCUGAGAGGGCGACCGGCCACAGUGGGACUGGGGUACGGCCAAGACCCAGACGGGAGGGAGCAGUGGGGAAUAUUGCACUAGGGGCGGGAGCCUGAUGCAGCAGCGCCGCGUGCGGGAUGACGGCCUUCGGGUUGUAAACCGCAUUCAGCAGGGGCGAAGCUUGUGGUGACGGUACCUGCAGAAGAAGCACCGGCUAACUACGUG
rnacentral:rRNA from 1 species